rnacentral:rRNA from 1 species
UACAGGGGGGGCAAGCGUGGUUCGGAAUUACUGGGCGUAAAGGGCUCGUAGGCGGCCGGCUAAGUCCGACGUGAAAUCCCCAGGCUUAACCUGGGAACUGCGUCGGAUACUGGCGGGCUUGAAUCCGGGAGAGGGAUGCGGAAUUCCAGGUGUAGCGGUGAAAUGCGUAGAUAUCUGGAGGAACACCGGUGGCGAAGGCGGCAUCCUGGACCGGCAUUGACGCUGAAUAGCGAAAGCCAGGGGAGCAAACGGG